GACGAACGCUGGCGGCGUGCUUAACACAUGCAAGUCGAACGGAAAGGCCCUGCUUUUGUGGGGUGCUCGAGUGGCGAACGGGUGAGUAACACGUGAGUAACCUGCCCUUGACUUUGGGAUAACUUCAGGAAACUGGGGCUAAUACCGGAUAGGAGCUCCUGCUGCAUGGUGGGGGUUGGAAAGUUUCGGCGGUUGGGGCUGGACUCGCGGCUUAUCAGCUUGUUGGUGGGGUAGUGGCUUACCAAGGCUUUGACGGGUAGCCGGCCUGAGAGGGUGACCGGCCACAUUGGGACUGAGAUACGGACCAGACUCCUACGGGAGGCAGCAGUGGGGAAUAUUGCACAAUGGGCGGAAGCCUGAUGCAGCAACGCCGCGUGCGGGAUGACGGCCUUCGGGUUGUAAACCGCUUUCGCCUGUGACGAAGCGUGAGUGACGGUAAUGGGUAAAGAAGCACCGGCUAACUACGUG
rnacentral:rRNA from 1 species